AUGAGACUGUACAACCUCAGUGGGGAACUAGUGAAGUCAGUCCAAACCAAGUCAGGGAACGGUCCACGGGACAUAGCAGUGACAAGGAGUGGGGAUCUAGUUUAUACUGAUUAUGAAGAUAGAACUGUGAACAUAGUGAAGAAUAAAAAGAUAAAGACAGUGAUCAGACUACGGGGGUGGAAACCUCGCGGUGUCUGUAGUACCUCCUCUGGUGACCUCCUGGUUGUCAUGGACAGUGAUGAUAAUAAACAAACAAAAGUUGUGUGUUACUCUGGCUCCACAGAGAAACAAAGUAUUCAGUACGACGACAAAGGACAACCUCUCUAUUCAUCUGGUGACUAUAAAUACAUCAGUGAGAACAGGAACUUAGAUAUCUGUGUGUCAGACAUUAGAGCCUGUGCAGUAGUGGUGGUCAAUCAGGCCGGGAAACUCCGGUUUACCUACACUGGUCCUCCCUCUACUACCAAGGGAUCAUUCUAUCCAUGCGGCAUCACAACAGACAGCCAGGGUCGGAUCCUGACAGCAGACUGGUACAACGACCGUAUCCACAUCCUGGAUCAGGACGGACAGUUCCUCCGCUACAUUGUCAACUGUGAUUUACAGGAUCCAGGUGCUUUAUGUGUGGACACCAGAGACAACCUCUUUGUGACUGAGUACUACACAGGUAAAGUGAAGAAAAUACAAUACAUGUAACAUGUGCUAUAUAUUUUACUACUGUGGUACUUUAAUGUGUCUAUAGAUUACAUACACUGGUGUAAAUAAACCUUUGUAUAUCAUGAUAAAAAUAUUUCAUUAAAUUUUUUUAUUUAAUUAUCAAGUACAUGCAUAACAUAACAGACUGCUUAGUUUUAUAUAAUUGCAGCUCAUUUAUACAUUAGAGUGGAUGUAUACAUAUGUAUGUGUUACAUUGUCAAUUGAGUAUAUACAAGUGUUGUUUGUCAACAGACUGAUUAUAUCUGAAUCAUGUAAACAAUUAUACACAAUACCGAUUAUGAAGAAGUGAAUUUUUGAAUGCAUUUGGUAUCAACAAAUUGAUUGUUCAUGGUUUUUACUUUUAAUUUAUAUGUGCAUGGACUUUGUGAAUAAAAAUGUGUUUAUUUUAAAGGAUUUAUAUACACAUGUGAAAAAUUGUAAUACUUAUAUACAUGUAUGGAGACCUGUCAUUUUAUUAGAUGAAUAUUUUGAAUACAAUAAAUGAUU
rnacentral:misc_RNA from 1 species